rnacentral:rRNA from 1 species
ACCUGCCCGAUACCGGGGUAUAGCCCAUGGAAACGUGGAUUAACACCCCAUAGUACUUUUAUCCUGCAUGGGAUGUGAGUUAAAUGUUCAAGGUAUCGGAUGGGCAUGCGUCCUAUUAGUUAGUUGGCGGGGUAACAGCCCACCAAGACGAUGAUAGGUAGGGGUUCUGAGAGGAAGGUCCCCCACAUUGGAACUGAGACACGGUCCAA